rnacentral:misc_RNA from 1 species
AGUGAUGUUUGCUAAAAUCCCAGCUGAAAAUUUUCCCAAGAUUUCUAUGCAGUGUAAGAUAUCUGUAGUCCCCACCUUCCUUUUCUACUUGGCGGGGAAGCAAGUCAAUCGUUUAGAUGGUGCCAAUGCAGCUAAGCUCACACAAAUGAUGGUUAAAAAACAAUAAUGCCAAUAAAGCACAAACUCUUGAAGUGCUUCGUCUGCCCCUGUUUUGUCUGGAGAUGUGAAACCAGUUGAAGCUAUUGUAAAUACUAAGUCGACAGCUGGAAAUUCAGAUGAAAUCCUGAAGAAAUUAAGUAAUCAAGCACCUGCUAUUCAUGAAAGGGAAUGCUGAAAAUCCUCCAUGUGUGUCACUUGUGUUUCAGAAAGCUCAGUUAUGGAUAACCUGUUGAUUUUUUCAGCAACUUCUAAACCCUCAUAAAAAUUAAAAUUGUCAAGACCUCCAAUAAGUGCAAGUACAGAAGAAUAUAUUCCACCAGUAUCUCCUUCCUGCCAACCAUCUUUGGAUUAUUCCUGAAAGUUUGUCUAAAUCUUCAGCUUUUGUUACCAUGGUCCUCGAAAACAUAGCCAGAAGGCAUCCUGUCCUUCUGACUUUAGCUUGCAAAGUUCUCAGAAUAAUAUUGAAAAGUGGUUCCGAGUUUUCGUUGAUAUUUUUAUGCAAGCACCCAUGCUAAAGUCAGAAGGACAGGAUGCCUUCUGGCUAUGUUUUCUAGCUUCCCCAACUUUUGCAGGGGCAUACGUACGAUCGCUGGCCGUAACUUACGUAGGCUAUGCGUUUUCCCUUUCCGUCCAGUGAUGACUCUAGUGGUCCGUGGAUGCUAAGAGCUGUCACUAGAUGGCCAAAUAUUUCAGUGUGUUUAGGGAUUGAGCUAUUCAGCUCUAGUGUGUUGGUAAUGUAGAGGGGGAUGGGUGGGUGCAUCAAAGUGUUGAGACGAGAAACCAUUCAUCCUUUCUUUUCUUCCGAGACGCUGUCCGAGAAGGGUUACUCUAGUCAUUGCUGGGUCCUUUCUCCUGAAACUUUUCGUCAUCACAAAGCAUGGUGGAGAUUUUCCCUUCAAGAUGUAGCUGUGUCAACAGGAUGCCUAUUUGAUGAGUUAUGCUGUAUCGGAGGAAAUCUGAAAUGGAUUUCUUGGUCAGUUUGAUGUUUGAGUUGUUAAUGGUGUUGUCUGGUGUGGAUCUUGCAGUCAUCUUCCAUCUGAGAGAUGCCCUGAAAUGGAAAUUGUGCAGACUUGCAGUUGGACAUCAUACUUCUACGUCUUAGUUGCCUGUCUGGCUGUCGGAAAUUUGUGCAUCAGCUGCAUUUUGUCGAUGUGUCGUCUCUUGCUGCCUGUUCUCACGUUGAGUCAUUCAGUGCAAUCGUUCGCCGCCGAUCCAGAGACUUGAUCCAUGGGUGAAGCUGAGAAGCAGUUGCUGAGAUUGAAGACUAAAAAUUAUUUUGAUUUAGUCCAAUUAAAAAUGCAUAUCUAUUGUCCCAUUUCCCUAAGUAAACAAAAUGUCCUCAUUUGGCUGGUUGUGUGAGAACCAGGAGCGUUAAGAUGGAAUGGGGAGUUGAAAUGAGAUCUGACAUUUUCUAUAAGAAAGAUUUGUUAAACCAUAAAAAUGAACCAAUUAACUCUACCGCUUCCAUAAUCAUUCUUAAACAUAUCGCUCUAAAUUUAUAAUACGAUUUCGUUAAAACAAAUAAAUUAUUGAAA